GAUGAACGCUAGCGGCAGGCCUAAUACAUGCAAGUCGAACGAGAUUAAGAGGCUUGCUUCUUAUGAAAGUGGCGCACGGGUGCGUAACGCGUAUGCAACCUACCUUAAUCAGGGGGAUAGCCCGAAGAAAUUCGGAUUAAGACCGCAUAAAAACACAGGAUAGCAUUAUCCAAUGUUCAAAUAUUUAUAGGAUUAAGAUGGGCAUGCGUGUCAUUAGCUAGUUGGCGGGGUAACGGCCCACCAAGGCGACGAUGACUAGGGGAUCUGAGAGGAUGACCCCCCACACUGGUACUGAGACACGGACCAGACUCCUACGGGAGGCAGCAGUAAGGAAUAUUGGUCAAUGGAGGGGACUCUGAACCAGCCAUGCCGCGUGCAGGAAGACAGCCCUCGGGGUCGUAAACUGCUUUUAUUCGGGAAUAAACCUUUCUACGUGUAGGAAGCUGAAUGUACCGAAGGAAUAAGGAUCGGCUAACUCCGUG
rnacentral:rRNA from 1 species